GUAGGUGGCAAGCGUUGUCCGGAAUUAUUGGGGCGUAAAGCGCGCGCAGGCGGUUCUUUAAGUCUGAUGUGAAAGCCCACGGGCUCAACCGUGGAGGGUCAUUGGAAACUGGAGAACUUGAGUACAGAAGAGGAAAGCGGAAUUCCACGUGUAGCGGUGAAAUGCGUAGAGAUGUAGAGGAACACCAGUGGCGAAGGCGGCUUUCUGGUCUGUAACUGACGCUGAGGCGCGAAAGCGUGGGGAGCAAACAGGAUUAGAUACCCUGGUAGUCCACGCCGUAAACGAUGAGUGCUAAGUGUUAGGGGGUUUCCGCCCCUUAGUGCUGCAGCUAACGCAUUAAGCACUCCGCCUGGGGAGUACGGCCGCAAAGGCUGA
rnacentral:rRNA from 1 species